UAAGUACAAUAACGAACUAAAUGUAACAUAUUUGAUAGAAAUUUCACAGGGUAUCUGUUAGUCAAUAAGAGGAACUAAAGUUUUUCAGCCGCUGUUCAUGAUUUCCCACACAAAUUGCUUUCGAUGGAAGAGAGGAUAUCUGGAUGCCUGGCCAUCAAACUGGACCACAUCGCGUGGUAGACAUCAAGCAUCGAAAGACCCAUCCAAGCCAGGCGCAAUCCACCCAAAAGCCAGCCCACUUGACGGUGAUUGGUGUUGAGUUACCAUGACAGUCUUUUGUUGUUCGACGACUUUAUGGUGUUGUUAUGCAAUGGAUCAAUGUAAAGCAAGCCAGGGAGGGGCAGCAGUUACGACUUUAUACUGGCCAUAGCUGAUAAGAUGCGAUUGUCAAAGGACUGCAUAUUAAGUAGCAGCACCCACUUUAAAUCGUUCUUUAAGCCAAGAAUAUGAAUGAAUAUUCCAUUUAAUGAUGGCAGUUACAACUUGAGAUGAAUGCGUUG
rnacentral:lncRNA from 1 species